GCCUGACUGGCCAAGUGGUAAGGCGUCUGUCUUGUAGUAUGGGCGAAUGUCGCCCCCGCUGCUAGCAAACAGAAGAUCUCCGGUUCGAAUCCGGAGUUGGGCA